UGAAAAGAACCCCGGGAGGGGAGUGAAAGAGAACCUGAAACCGUGUGCCUACAAGUAGUCAGAGCCCGUUAACGGGUAAUGGCGUGCCUUUUGUAGAAUGAACCGGCGAGUUGCGUUAGUCAGCAAGGUUAAGUCAGAAAAGACGGAGCCGUAGCGAAAGCGAGUCUGAAGAGGGCGAGCAGUUGGCUGACGCAGACCCGAAACCAAGUGACCUACCCAUGACCAGGUUGAAGGCGCGGUAAAACGCGCUGGAGGACCGAACCCACGUAAGUUGAAAAUUGCGGGGAUGAGUUGUGGGUAGCGGUGAAAUUCCAAACGAACUUGGAGAUAGCUGGUUCUCUCCGAAAUAGCUUUAGGGCUAGCCUCGCAAAGAGGAUGCUGGAGGUAGAGCUCUGUUUGGACUAGGGGCCCGUCAAGGGUUACUGAAUUCAGAUAAACUGCGAAUUCCAGACAUUUAUGUGCGGGAGUCAGACUGCGAGUGAUAAGAUCCGUAGUCGAAAGGGAAACAGCCCAGAUCACCAGUUAAGGUCCCAAAAUUCAUGCUAAGUGGAAAAGGAUGUGGAGUUGCGCAGACAACUAGGACGUUGGCUCAGAAGCAGCCAUCAUUCAAAGAGUGCGUAAUAGCUCACUAGUCGAGUGACGCCGCGCCGAAAAUUUACCGGGGCUAAGCAUGAUACCGAAACUGUGGAUGUGCAUUUAUGCACGUGGUAGGAGAGCGUUCUAGCGGCGGUGAAGCAUGACCGAGAGGACAUGUGGAGCUUCUAGAAGUGAGAAUGCCGGUAUGAGUAACGAAAGACAGGUGAGAAUCCUGUCCGCCGCAAGAC
rnacentral:rRNA from 1 species